rnacentral:lncRNA from 1 species
UAGACAAAUACUGUCACAAUAAAGAGGGCAGAUUAUAUACUUGUUUUGUAGACUUUCGCAAAGCAUUCGACAGUGUAAUUCAUAUAGGUCUUAAACUGAAGCUUAUUAAUAUGAAAGUUGGUACUUUAUUUUAUAAUAUUAUAUCAGAUAUGUAUAACAAUAGUCAAGCAUGUGUAAGAGUUGGAGCUUCUCUCACUGACCCUUUUAGCAUUAAAUUAGGUGUAAGACAAGGAGACAACUUGAGUCCUUCAUUAUUUAAAAUUUUUAUAAAUGACUUCCCAUCUUAUCUUGACUCCUGCCUGGAUGCAGUUUCCCUGCACUCCGAGAAAUUAAAUUGUUUGAUGUAUGCAGAUGAUAUUGUGAUUAUGUCAACAUCAGCCACAGGGCUUCAAAGUAGACUUGAUCAGCUUGAAAAAUAUUGUGCUGACUGGUG